GCGGUAACACAGGGAGCUUGCUCCUGGGUGACGAGCGGCGGACGGGUGAGUAAUGUCUGGGAAACUGCCUGAUGGAGGGGGAUAACUACUGGAAACGGUAGCUAAUACCGCAUAAUGUCGCAAGACCAAAGAGGGGGACCUUCGGGCCUCUUGCCAUCAGAUGUGCCCAGAUGGGAUUAGCUAGUAGGUGGGGUAAUGGCUCACCUAGGCGACGAUCCCUAGCUGGUCUGAGAGGAUGACCAGCCACACUGGAACUGAGACACGGUCCAGACUCCUACGGGAGGCAGCAGUGGGGAAUAUUGCACAAUGGGCGCAAGCCUGAUGCAGCCAUGCCGCGUGUAUGAAGAAGGCCUUCGGGUUGUAAAGUACUUUCAGCGAGGAGGAAGGCAUUAAGGUUAAUAACCUUGGUGAUUGACGUUACUCGCAGAAGAGCACCGGCUACUCCGUGCCAGCAGCCGCGGUAAU
rnacentral:rRNA from 1 species